UACGGAGGGGGGCUAGCGUUGUUCGGAAUUACUGGGCGUAAAGGGCGCGCAGGCGGCGGUUCAAGUCGGGCGUGAAAGGCCUGGGCUCAACCCGGGAAUGGCGCUCGAGACUGGACUGCUCGAGUCCGGGAGAGGAUGGUGGAAUUCCCAGUGUAGAGGUGAAAUUCGUAGAUAUUGGGAAGAACACCGGUGGCGAAGGCGGCCAUCUGGACCGGUACUGACGCUGAGGCGCGAAAGCGUGGGGAGCAAACAGG
rnacentral:rRNA from 1 species